AGAGUUUGAUCCUGGCUCAGGACGAACGCUGGCGGCGUGCCUAACACAUGCAAGUCGAACGGACCCGCAAGGGUCAGUGGCGGACGGGUGCGUAACACGUGAGGAACGUAGCCAUCGGCGGGGGAUAGCCGGCCCAACGGCCGGGUAAUACCGCGUACGACCUUUGGGGGGCAUCCUCCGAAGGUGAAAGCAGCAAUGCACCGAUGGGGCGCCUCGCGGCCUAUCAGCUAGUUGGUGAGGUAACGGCUCACCAAGGCUACGACGGGUAGCUGGUCCGAGAGGAUGGCCAGCCACAUUGGGACUGAGACACGGCCCAGACUCCUACGGGAGGCAGCAGUGGGGAAUAUUGCGCAAUGGGCGAAAGCCUGACGCAGCGACGCCGCGUGUGGGAUGAAGGUCUUCGGAUUGUAAACCACUGUCGGGAGGGACGAAAUUUUGACGGUACCUCCAAAGGAAGCACCGGCUAACUCUGUGCCAGCAGCCGCGGUAAUAC
rnacentral:rRNA from 1 species